rnacentral:rRNA from 1 species
GAUGAACGCUGGCGGCGUGCCUAAUACAUGCAAGUCGAGCGAAUGGAUUGAGAGCUUGCUCUUAUGAAGUUAGCGGCGGACGGGUGAGUAACACGUGGGUAACCUGCCCAUAAGACUGGGAUAACUCCGGGAAACCGGGGCUAAUACCGGAUAACAUUUUGAACCGCAUGGUUCGAAAUUGAAAGGCGGCUGCGGCUGUCACUUAUGGAUGGACCCGCGUCGCAUUAGCUAGUUGGUGAGGUAACGGCUCACCAAGGCAACGAUGCGUAGCCGACCUGAGAGGGUGAUCGGCCACACGGGGACUGAGGCACGGCCCAGACUCCUACGGGAGGCAGCAGGAGGGAAUCUUCCGCAAUGGACGAAAGUCUGACGGAGCAACGCCGCGUGAGUGAUGAAGGCUUUCGGGUCGUAAAACUCUGUUGUUAGGGAAGAACAAGUGCUAGUUGAAUAAGCUGGCACCUUGACGGUACCUAACCAGAAAGCCACGGCUAACUACGUGCCAGCAGCCGCCGUAA